rnacentral:miRNA from 1 species
GUGCCUGCUGUGUGCCAAGG